CAAAUACUCCCUCCGUCUGGAAAUACUUGUCAUCAAAAUGGAUAAAAGGAAAUGUAUCUAGACGUAUUUUAGUUUUAGAUACAUCUCUUUUUAUCCAUUUUGAUGACAAGUAUUUUCGGACGGAGGGAGUAGANN
rnacentral:pre_miRNA from 1 species